rnacentral:rRNA from 1 species
GACGCAUGCAGGCGGUCUCGUUAAGUCAAGAUGUGAAAGACCCGGGGCGUCAACCUCGGAACAGCAUUUUGAAACUGGCAGACUAGAGUCUUGUAGAGGGGGGUAGGAAUUUCAGGUGUAGCGGUGAAAUGCGUAGAGAUCUGAAGGAAUACCGGUGGCGAAGGCGGCCCCCUGGACAAAGACUGACGCUCAGAUGCGAAAGCGUGGGGAGCAAACAGGAUUAGAUACCCUGGUAG